rnacentral:rRNA from 1 species
GACAGAGGGUGCAAACGUUGUUCGGAAUUACUGGGCGUAAGCGUGUGUAGGCGGCUACAUCAGUCGGAUGUGAAAGCCCCGGGCUCAACCCGGGAAGUGCACUCGAUACUGCGUAGCUUGAGUCUCGGAGAGGUUGGUGGAAUUCUCGGUGUAGAGGUGAAAUUCGUAGAUAUCGAGAGGAACACCGGUGGCGAAGGCGGCCAACUGGACGAAGACUGACGCUGAGACACGAAAGCGUGGGGAGCAAACAGG